rnacentral:rRNA from 1 species
UCUGUAGGUGGCUCGCUAAGUCAGACGUGAAAUCCCUCAGCUCAACUGGGGAACUGCGUCUGAUACUGGCAAGCUUGAGUGCAGGAGAGGAACGCGGAAUUCCAGGUGUAGCGGUGAAAUGCGUAGAUAUCUGGAGGAACACCGGAGGCGAAGGCGGCGUUCUGGACUGCAACUGACACUGAUAGACGAAAGCCAGGGGAGCAAACG